UUCAACUUUCCCACACUUUUCCAACCCCAAGGAAAGAGAGAGCGCGAGACAAGACGGAACAUCCUACAAAGCCUAACAUUUAUUCCAAUAUUACAGGAUGGAGAGCUUAGGAUACCACACGGAGGGGGGUGAAGGAGCCUUGGGGAUGCCUGAAGGAGGGACAGUGAAGGAGGGAGGCCUGGAGGUAAACGGAAUGCAGAAAAUUCCUUCAAUACGGAACGCUUCUCUGGUCAGACCAUCCUUCACUGAAUAUAUGGACCCAGGCUUCGAGAUACGAUGAUGGAGAGCUUAGGAUACCACACGGGGGGGUGUGAAGGAGCCUUGGAGAUGCCUGAAGGAGAUAAAGUGAAGGAGGGAGGCCUGGAGGUGAACGAAAUGCAGAAAAUUUCUUCAAUACUGAAUGCUUCUCUGGUCAGACCAUCCUUUACUGAAUAUAAGAACAUAAGAAAUAACGGAAGUUGCAAGAAGCGACCAGGCUUACACGUGGCAGUCCCUGUAUGAAACACACCUACCUAUUUCCAUCUGUUAUCCCCAUCCAUAAACUUGUCUAAUCUUCUCUUAAAGCUCUCUAGUCUCCUAGCACUAACUACAUGAUUACUGAG